rnacentral:ncRNA from 1 species
AAAAAUAUUCUAUCACCCCCAUAUAAUCCUGAUAAUUUGGUUCAGGAGUUUCUACAGAGCAACCUAAUUGUUCUACUAUGGAUGGUGCAUUUC